rnacentral:lncRNA from 1 species
GGUCCUCUUGAAGAACAGUGUCUUACUUAGGGUUUCACUGCCAUGAACAGAAGACACCAUGACCAAGGCAACGCUUAUAAGGACAACACUUAACUGGGGCUGGCUCACAGGUCAGAGAGGUUCAGUCCAUCAUCAAAGUGGGAACAUGGCAGCAUCCAAGCAGGCAUAGAACAGGAGGAGCUGAGAGUUCUACAUCUUCAUCUGAAGGCUGCUAAUGGAAGACUAACUUCCAGGUACCUAGGAAGUGGGUCUGAUAGCCCACACCCACAGCGACAUACCUACUCCAACAGGGCCACAGCUUCUAAUAAUGCCACCCCCUGGGCAGAGCGUGUGCAAACCAUCAUAGGCAGCCAAUGCCCAUCUCUCCAGGGCUCAUUUUGCCUCUUAUUAGUUUGGAAGUUGUUUGCUUGUUUCUCAGAGGUUUUAUUAUUGUUAUUUAUGUUUGUGCUUCUGUGUGUGUACAAAUGUGUACGGGUGCCUAUAAAGGCCGGAAGGCCCCAUCAGAUCCGCUGGAACUAGAGCUAGGGGCAGUUAAGGGUGCUGGGUGCUGGAAACUGAACUCAAGUCCUCUGGAAGAGCCUCUGCUUCUUAUCUGUUAGCCAUCUUGGGGCUGGGGAUUUAGCUCAGUGGUAGAGCGCUUACCUAGGAAGCGCAAGGCCCUGGGUUCAGUCCCCAGCUCCGAAAAAAAGAACCAAAAAAAAAAAAAAAAAUCUGU